UAAUUUACACAUGGAGUCUCUGCGUCCUUCCCCUCCCCCUCUCCCCUCCCAGUACCCGGUGCCUCUUUCUCAUCUCACCUCUCUUUGUCUUUCAGGGGAGCCCCGAUGUCUUGUCCAGCCCCACCCUGGGGCACAUUCAUAACCCCAGGAUCCACGCUAUACACUGCGGGGCAGCCCAUACUGCACUCGAUGCUCACCGCACCUGUUACCUCGUCACUCGGCUCUAGGGUCCAUCAAGGAGUUCGCCUGCUGACACCUCCGACCCACCUCCAUAUUUAUCAUAUCUCUUCUGAUUGGGUGCCGAGGAAACCUCCAGAACAUCUCCAGGGCCGGGGGAUGGGCCUACCUCAUACUGUUCUGCAUUGUUCUACAUUCUAAUAAAUUAUUAUCCAUUUAUUCCA